CUUGAAACCAGACACCGCCGACGCAACGUACGCCUCAGAGGUAUCCCUGAAACGGUGAGCGGUGAAGAUUUACUGCCCUUUGUCCGGAGACUCACCUCCUCCAUGGGCCUUAGAUGUAAUUCAGACACCCCACUGAUACUGUCCACCUUCAGGGUGCGCAAAUCGCCAGCGGCACCCGCUGGUGCCCCCAGAGACACCAUAGCCACCACCAGAGACAUAGCGGCGAGAGCUGCCAUCAUGGCCGGAUCCAGAUCAUUGGGGUCGGUAAAAUUUGAGGGAUGCGAGGUGGCCAUAUACAGUGACCUCCCUUUUGCAGUGCUUGCAGCAAGGAGACUACUAGCACCGGUCAGUAAGAGACU